GGAAUUUUCCGCAAUGGGCGAAAGCCUGACGGAGCAACGCCGCGUGAGUGAAGAAGUCUCUAGGGAUGUAAAGCUCUGUCAAGAGGGAAGAUUAUGACGGUACCUCUAAAGGAAGCCCCGGCUAAUUACGUGCCAGCAGCCGCGGUAAUACGUAAGGGGCGAGCGUUAUCCGGAAUUAUUGGGCGUAAAGCGUCCGCAGGCGGCCCUUCAAGUCUGCUGUUAAAAAGUGGAGCUUAACUCCAUCAUGGCAGUGGAAACUGUUGGGCUUGAGUGUGGUAGGGGCAGAGGGAAUUCCCGGUGUAGCGGUGAAAUGCGUAGAUAUCGGGAAGAACACCAGUGGCGAAGGCGCUCUGCUGGGCCAUCACUGACGCUCAUGGACGAAAGCCAGGGGAGCGAAAGGGAUUAGAUACCCCAGUAGUC
rnacentral:rRNA from 1 species